UACACACUGCUGGCACAGUGAAAACCGCGUAAUGGCUCAUUAAAUCAGUUAUGGUUUAUUAGAUCGUGCGUUCUACGUGGAUAACUGUGGUAAUUCUAGAGCUAAUACAUGCAACUGGCCCUAACUUUACGGAGGGGCGCUUUUAUUAGAUCAAAAUCAAUCAGGCUUCGGCCUGUUUUUGUGAUGACUCUGGAUAACUUUUGCCGACCGCAUGGCCUUGCGCUGGCGGCGUAUCUUUCAAAUGUCUGCCCUAUCAACUUUCGAUGGUAGGUGACAUGCCUACCAUGGUUGUAACGGGUAACGGAGAAUCAGGGUUCGAUUCCGGAGAGGGAGCCUGAGAAACGGCUACCACAUCCAAGGAAGGCAGCAGGCGCGCAAAUUACCCACUCCCGGCACGGGGAGGUAGUGACGAAAAAUAACAAUGCUGGGCUUCAAGUCCGGUAAUUGGAAUGAGUACACUUU
rnacentral:rRNA from 1 species